AUUGAACGCUGGCGGCAUGCCUAACACAUGCAAGUCGAACGGUAACAGGUCUUCGGAUGCUGACGAGUGGCGAACGGGUGAGUAAUACAUCGGAACGUGCCUAGUAGUGGGGGAUAACUACUCGAAAGAGUGGCUAAUACCGCAUGAGAUCUACGGAUGAAAGCAGGGGAUCGCAAGACCUUGUGCUACUAGAGCGGCCGAUGGCAGAUUAGGUAGUUGGUGGGAUAAAAGCUUACCAAGCCGACGAUCUGUAGCUGGUCUGAGAGGACGAUCAGCCACACUGGGACGGAGACACGGCCCAGACUCCUACGGGGGGCAGCAGUGGGGAAUUUUGGACAAUGGGCGCAAGCCUGAUCCAGCAAUGCCGCGUGCAGGAUGAAGGCCUUCGGGUUGUAAACUGCUUUUGUACGGAACGAAAAGCCCUGGGUUAAUACCCUGGGGUCAUGACGGUACCGUAAGAAUAAGCACCGGCUAACUACGUGCCAGCCGCCGCAGUAAGAC
rnacentral:rRNA from 1 species